CCUACGGGUGGCAGCAGUGGGGAAUAUUGGGCAAUGGGCGCAAGCCUGACCCAGCAACGCCGCGUGAAGGAAGAAGGCUUUCGGUUUGUAAACUUCUUUUCUCAGGGACGAAGCAAGUGACGGUACCUGAGGAAUAAGCCACGGCUAACUACGUGCCAGCAGCGGCGGUAAUACGUAGGUGGCAAGCGUUCUCCGGAUUUACUGGGUGUAAAGGGCGUGUAGGCGGGACUGCAAGUCUGAUGUGAAAACCACGGGCUCAACCUGUGGCCUGCAUUGGAAACUGUGGUUCUGGAGUACUGGAGAGGCAAGCGGAAUUCCUAGUGUAGCGGUGAAAUGCGUAGAUAUUAGGAGGAACACCAGUGGCGAAGGCGGUCUGCUGGACAGCAACUGACGUUGAGGCGCGAAAGCGUGGGGAGCAAACAGGAUUAGAUACCCGAGUAGUC
rnacentral:rRNA from 1 species